CAAGAUUUCCUGCUCCUGGCUCAGUCCACUCUUGACUGGCACGUGAGCCACCAAAGUAUCCACGGUGGUCUUCGCAGUGGAGAGACCUCCUGAGCCGG